rnacentral:lncRNA from 1 species
GCUAACUUGCUAGAAAAUUCUAGACAGUAAAAGCUCUCAAAGGAGGAAUACAAUCAAUCAAUCAAUAAGACUAAAGAUGAUUACUGCUUUUCCCUUGCUGAUGUAUAUUCCCUUGUGUACCUGUUAUAGCCGAAAGGAAGAUAUAUAUAUACUAAGGAGGGUAACGACUAUAUGAAUAAAACAGAGAAUCAAUUACCGAUCUUUCUCUCUAAUUAGUUCCUAACGGAUAAAUAAAUUAGCAUGAAUCAAUCAUAG